rnacentral:rRNA from 1 species
CUACGGGGCGCUGCAGUGGGGAAUAUUGCACAAUGGGCGCAAGCCUGAUGCAGCCAUGCCGCGUGUAUGAAGAAGGCCUUCGGGUUGUAAAGUACUUUCAGCGGGGAGGAAGGGAGUAAAGUUAAUACCUUUGCUCAUUGACGUUACCCGCAGAAGAAGCACCGGCAAACUCCGUGCCAGCAGCCGCGGUAAUACGGAGGGUGCAAGCGUUAAUCGGAAUUACUGGGCGUAAAGCGCACGCAGGCGGUUUGUUAAGUCAGAUGUGAAAUCCCCGGGCUCAACCUGGGAACUGCAUCUGAUACUGGCAAGCUUGAGUCUCGUAGAGGGGGGUAGAAUUCCAGGUGUAGCAGUGAAAUGCAUAGAGAUCUGGAGGAAUACCGGUGGCGAAGGCGGCCCCCUGGACGAAGACUGACGCUCAGGUGCGAAAGCGUGGGGAGCAAACAGGAUUAGAUACCCGAGUAGUC